rnacentral:tRNA from 1 species
GCCGCUAUAGCUCAGGGGUAGAGCGCACCCUUGGUAAGGGUGAGGUCCUGUGUUCAAAUCACAGUAGCGGCA